AUGGAGUUGAAGGGAAGAAGCUGGUCGGCAUUGGGUGGAUUCAAGGCCAACAAUUUGCUUCUAAAAUCACAACAGACGAAAAUAUCCUGCACAUGCAAACGUAGAUGGGCGCGGUCAUGGUUCGGUUCUGUGUGGAGUUUUGACAAAGGGUCGAGUGAGUGUCACUGGAGGAAAUUUCUCAAUCCACCUUCCAUAAUGUCUGAAUCUGCAAAAAUACACUACAGGGAGAAUGCUUCUGAUAAACCUCUACAACAGGCCCAACAAAUACAAAGAGACGAAGAAGCUCGAAAUUAA